rnacentral:tRNA from 1 species
GCGCCCUUAGUUUAACGGUAGAACGGGGGUCUCCAAAACCUUUGAUGAGGGUUCGAUUCCUUCAGGGCGCG